rnacentral:tRNA from 1 species
GGAGAGAUGGCCGAGAGGCUUAUGGCGGCGGUUUCGAAAAUCGCUGAACGAAAGUUCCGGGGGUUCGAAUCCCUCUCUCUCCGCCA